GACGAACGCUGGCGGCGUGCUUAACACAUGCAAGUCGAACGGAAAGGCCCCAGCUUGCUGGGGUACUCGAGUGGCGAACGGGUGAGUAACACGUGGGUGAUCUGCCCUGCACUUCGGGAUAAGCCUGGGAAACUGGGUCUAAUACCGGAUAGGACCAUCGUUUAGUGUCGGUGGUGGAAAGUGUCUCGGUGCAGGAUACGCCCGCGGCCUAUCUGCUUGUUGGUGGGGUAAUGGCCUACCAAGGCGUCGACGGGGAGCCGGCCGGAGGGGGUGGACGGCCAAGUUGGGAUUGAAGCAGGUCCCAGCCGCCGUCGGGGGGCAGGAGUGGGGAUUAUUGCGCAAUGGGCGCACGCCUGAUGCAGCGGCGCGGCGUGGGGGAUGACGGCCUUCGGGUUGUAAUCUCCUUUUGCGAAGUGGGAGACCACUUGGAGAAUAAGGAGCUGCUAACUCUGUGCCAGCCGCCGCGGUAA
rnacentral:rRNA from 1 species